rnacentral:rRNA from 1 species
UACAGAGGGUGCGAGCGUUAAUCGGAAUUACUGGGCGUAAAGCGUGCGUAGACGGUAGCGUAAGUCAGAUGUGAAAGCCCCGGGCUCAACCUGGGAACUGCAUUUGAGACUGCUCUGCUCGGGUGCGGAAGAGGGAAGCGGAAUUUCCGGUGUAGCGGUGAAAUGCGUAGAUAUCGGAAGGAACACCAGUGGCGAAGGCGGCAUCCUGGACCGGCAUUGACGCUGAGGCGCGAAAGCCAGGGGAG